rnacentral:tRNA from 1 species
GUCCCUGUAGCUUACAACUUAAAGCAUGGCACUGAAGAUGCCAAGACGGCUGCCGCUGCACCCGGGG